rnacentral:rRNA from 1 species
AGAGUUUGAUCCUGGCUCAGAGCGAACGCUGGCGGCGUACUUAACACAUGCAAGUCGUACGAGGAUCGUCGGGUUAGCAAUAAUUCGGCGGUUCGAGUGGCGCACGGGUGAGUAACACGUGGGUAACCCACCCUUGAGACCGGGAUACCCUCUCGAAAGGGAGGCUAAUACUGGAUACGUUCCCUGGGACGCAAGAUCUGGGGAGGAAAGGUGGCGAAAGCUGCCGCUCUUGGAGGGGCUCGCGGCCUAUCAGCUAGUUGGUGAGGUAACGGCUCACCAAGGCUAUGACGGGUAGCUGGUCUGAGAGGACGACCAGCCACACGGGAACUGAGACACGGUCCCGACUCCUACGGGAGGCAGCAGUGGGGAAUUUUCCGCAAUGGGCGAAAGCCUGACGGAGUGACGCCGCGUGGGGGACGAAGGCCUUCGGGUCGUAAACCCCUGUCAGAGGGAAAGAAGGGUGUCGGCGUGAAUAGCGCCGGCAUUUGACGGUACCUUCAGAGGAAGCCCCGGCCAACUCUGUGCCAGCAGCCGCGGUAAGACAGAGGGGGCAAGCGUUGCUCGGAAUCACUGGGCGUAAAGGGCGCGUAGGCGGGAUGGCAAGUCGGUCGUGAAAUCCUUCGGCUCAACCGAAGAACGUCGGCCGAUACUGCCGUUCUUGAGGGAUGCAGAGGAGAUUGGAAUUCCCGGUGUAGCGGUGAAAUGUGUAGAGAUCGGGAGGAACACCGGUGGCGAAGGCGGGUCUCUGGGCAUCUCCUGACGCUGAGGCGCGAAAGCGUGGGGAGCAAACGGGAUUAGAUACCCCCGUAGUCC